rnacentral:misc_RNA from 1 species
GCAGCAAUGGGGCCUUCCUUGUCGCUACUUCCUGCUGUAAACCUCGCGCUGAGUGUUGGAGGUGGGGACCGUGUGUGGACGGGACCAGCCAGACAGGCUGCCAGUGCCCCAGGAGGACUCUGAGAAAAGCCCCAACGUAUCUUUCUCAUUAGGAAACCAUGGUGCUUGAGUUCCUGCCAGGAGAGUUACUUAUUCAAUUAAGUUACUCCAUAAAGUACGGCUUAACAAGGAGUAAGGAGUUGAUGUAGCAAUUCAGUGAAUGGUUGUCUAGUUUCAGGUAGUUCACAGGAUGAGCUAAGCAGAAGGGCAGAAAUCAUCGGUUGAUUGUUAUGCUCAGGAUCUGGACAAAAGAGUACUUUAAAGCUUGCCAAUCAAAGACGUCUAAGUAGGACAUGGAGAGCAGGCGGAACACGGGCGGCGAGGCCAUGGCAGCACGUGUAACUCUGGAAUGCACAGCUGCACUGCGAAGCACAGCUGGGAGGGAGCAGUGCCGGUCCAGUCAGCCCAGCCCGCCCUCAGUCCUGGCGCCUUCAGAGCACCGGCCGGCUGCCAAGCCCUGCAUCCGGAGUCUUGAGGUGUAUGAAGAUGAAGGUCUGGUCCUUCUCAGGAAGGUCACCAUCCAGAGGAGGUUAAAGAAUACACGCUAUGGAGUAGAAAGAGCCCCGAUGUGAAGGCUGCCAUCAGAAUUCAAUUUCAUAGCACCACUCUGAGCAACUGUUUCAUUUUCUGUAACAAAGAGUAGUAAUAUAUACCUCCCAGGGUUGCAUAAACCUUGAAGGAGCUAAUAAAAAAUCUUA